rnacentral:lncRNA from 1 species
UUUUGAGGCUAGGGUCAGAAGGUUUAGGGUUUUGGAUAUAAUUUGGGUGAAGAUUUUGUGUGAUUUCGAGUUUUUAUGGAAAAGAUAUGAAUGUUCAAAGAUAAGGUGUCAAUUUCGUACCUACUGUCACUUCUUUUGGGCAUCACAUACGAAUAUGGAGAGCAACGGAAGAUCGGCGACUGGAUUUGGAGGGAGCAUUUUUUCGGCUACACAUUCUAUUUACUGUAUAGUGAAUUCUAAUAUUGGAUGAAGGAGUUAUGAGGCGUUGAAGACAGCACUUGUAAUUUGAAGGCAGUAAGUAUAUCAUUUUGUUGCUAGUUGUGGGUGAAGCCAUAUCUUGAGUUUCUGGACGAAUUUUUGGCUCAAAAUUUCCACAAGUGUGUGUAAUUGGGUUAAAAAGCUUUAGAUCAAAGUUUCAUAGUAUUUUAAUAAUUAGUUUGUGAGAUAUGAAGGAAGUUGUACACGGGUGUAAAAAAGCUAGGGUUUGAAGCUACAGUUAGGGUUUUCAAGAUAUCACAAGAUCCAAGACGAAUUUACGGUUGAAUUUUGGUGUGGUAGUUGCUAAAGAUAUAUCAGUACUCCAUGUAAAAUUUGGAGUUGUUUAGACGGUUAGAUCGUAAGUUAUGAGCUGUUGAACUUCGGGAAAAAUUCCUCAUAAGGAUAUAUAAGUUUUUUA